AUCGUGCAAUGUGCGUACUCAUACGGAUUAAGAAGAGUUUUUCAUAAACCAAUCUUUUUUUUUUCUUUUUUAUCAAUACUGCGUGUUAAAAAUUUGAUUUUUUUUUUCUAAUCAUGGUUAUCAUCAAAGGCAUAAAGCAGUACACUGGAGAUCAUCAAUAACAAAGUCAACCUGAUCCCACGGUGGAAAAUUCAGAUCGAAAGGUAAUGGCUUACGGCAGUGCAAGGAAGAGAAUGAAAUAUCACCAUCGUCAACCACCGAAGAAGAUGAAUCACAAUCACUAUGACAAUCCUCAAGCACCAUCGCUGGAGUCCCAUGAUGUGUUUUCUUCGCAGCCAACAAAAGCCCAGAUCUUUUUGUUGCUGUUGUUAUUCCCGGUGGCCUGGGACCGCUGAAAGACUCUAAUGUACUGCUCUGACCGCUAGAUGUGGGUCUCUGGGGAUUUACCUGAUUCUCAUCAAACUCAUUUGCUGCAUCUAACCUAUGAUCAAUCAAAGCGUCGGGGGGAUUUUGGUAAGUGAAAGGAGAUAAAUGGGAGGAAGAAAUGGCAAAAUUGGUUUUGGCCUUUGGUCCACGGAGGGCACGGGCGGCCGCGUCGUAGGCACGGGCUGCAUCCUCCGCGGAGUCAAAGGUGCCGAGCCAAACUCUAGUCUUUUUCAAGGGAUCUCUGAUCUCGGCGGCGAAUUUGCCCCACGGUCUUUUCCGGACUCCUCUAUAUCUGGGUUCUCCCCCCUUCGUGAUAUUUUGAGGUUCAGAUCCGUUUGGUUCCGCUGCUCCUUCCGUUGCUACGGCGGCGGGGGGGGGCGGCUCUUCUUCUCCCCAUACGGAUUUUUGAACAAGAUAAAGAAAGAAUAGAAACAAGAAGGUGGAUUGUGAGCAAAACGGAAAGAAAACCCACAAUCAACACCAAAAAUCAAGAAAUCGGAAUCAAGAAUUCAUAUUUUUGAAUGAACCCAUUGUGGAAUGGAUAGCGGAGAAGAGAAGAGAGGCGAUGAUGGUAUAGAAAUCAGAAAUAGAU
rnacentral:misc_RNA from 1 species